CGGUGGUUCGCGUCACGAUUAUCCAGCGCAUGAUAAUAUCUCUAUUUCAUCGAGAACGUGACUCGUCGUACGUGAUCCCGCAGACGUACGGGAGCAGAAAAUUUUACGAGCUGACGUGCGCUGUCCUCCUCUCGCGCGGUCUCGCAAUGCUUGUUUCUGCGUUUUCGCGGCAGAUCUUCUUUGUCUAGCACGUCAUAAACGAACUGGGAGAACGUUUCGUCGAAAACGGUAGUCCGGUAGCCGUGAGUCUCAUUAUUUUUAAUUGAGGCGAAACUAACAAUUUUCAGG
rnacentral:misc_RNA from 1 species